UCACAAUGAUGAAUGGUCCAAAACAUUCGCGGUUUCCACCAGAACCCUAGAUGUUGGCAAUUCCUUCCUUGGAUGUCUGAGUGA
ensembl:snoRNA SNORD14 Small nucleolar RNA SNORD14